rnacentral:rRNA from 1 species
GAUGAACGCUGGCGGCGUGCCUAAUACAUGCAAGUCGAACGGGGAGUAGCAAUACUUCUAGUGGCGAACGGGUGAGUAACGCGUUGGUGACCUGCCCCGAAGCGUGGGAUACCAAUCCGAAAGGAUUGCUAAUACCGCAUGGAGUUCUCGAGAUUAGAGGCUUGGGAACGAAAGGAGACAUUCACUUCGGGAGGGGCCUGCGUCCCAUCAGCUAGUUGGUGAGGUAACGGCUCACCAAGGCGAUGACGGGUAGGGGACCUGAGAGGGUGGCCCCCACCAAAUAGGUAACGUACG